AACCAAGAAAUUUAGUCAUUCUUUUACGGUAAAAAGACAGUUAGGCAAAUAUAAGUGAAAUUAUCGGAUCUUUAGUAAAGGAGUAAAAUCUAAAUACUAAAAGUUAUACCAGAUAUAAUUUAUAUAAGAUGUUGAAUCUGUGACAGCUUUAAGGGAAACUGGGAUUGGAUACCCCAUUAUUUUUAGUUAUAAAUUUAGUUUAAGCUUACCAGAGUACUACGAAUAAAAAGUUUAAAACUCAAAGGGCUUGGCGGUGUUUUAGACCUCUCAGGGGAACCUGUCUCGUAAUCGACAAUCCACGUUAAACCUAACCUUUUGUAGUAAUACAGCUUGUAUACCGUCGUCGUCAGGUAACUUCUUAAAAUAUAGUAGUUAGCUUGAGAAUUUAAUUAAUUAAAACGUCAGAUCAAGGUGCAGCUAAUGAAGAGGUGAGGAUGGGUUACAAUUACAUAUUUGUAAACACGGAAAAAUGCUUGAAAUGGAGUAUUUUAAAGGAGGACUUGAAAGUAAUUUUGAUUAUAUAAACAGAAUGAAUAAGGCUCUGAAACGUGC
rnacentral:rRNA from 1 species